AUCGCUUCUCAGCCUUUUGGCCAAGAUCAAGUGUAGUAUCUGUUCUUAUCAGUUUUAAAUGUCACCAGGUUAAUAGCAGCCAGCAUUUACUGAGGGCUCCCGGCAUGCCAGGACCUUGUGCUAAGGGCUUUACACAUGUCAGUUCCAGACUCUUC
rnacentral:snRNA from 1 species